rnacentral:rRNA from 1 species
GAUGAACGCUAGCGGCAGGCCUAAUACAUGCAAGUCGAACGAGAUUUAUGACUUCGGUUAUAAUGAAAGUGGCGCACGGGUGCGUAACGCGUAUGCAACCUACCCUUUACUGGAGGAUAGCCCGGAGAAAUUCGGAUUAAUACUCCAUAGUAUCACCAGAUGGCAUCUGAAGGUGAUUAAAGAUUUAUUGGUAAAGGAUGGGCAUGCGUGACAUUAGAUAGUUGGUGAGGUAACGGCUCACCAAGUCUACGAUGUCUAGGGGUUCUGAGAGGAUGAUCCCCCACACUGGUACUGAGAUACGGACCAG